rnacentral:lncRNA from 1 species
CGUAUACCACCGGGCAUCUCGAAACUCCCGAGGACCCUCCGGGCAUGCAUCAUGAUACAACCGGGCAUCCAGCACAAACCUCUUGGCAUGUAUCAUGACACAACUGGGCAUCCGGCACUCCCUAGCCAGGCAUCCCGACACUCCCGGGGCAUCGUCGGCUCACACCUCCGAUGGCAUUCUCAUUUAUCAUAGUUUAUAUUCACAAUUGUGGCUCAAUUUCAACAUGGCAUAUAAUGUGAUGGCAAACAAGAUCAUUUUCAUCAUU